AACGAACGCUGGCGGCAUGCCUAACACAUGCAAGUCGAACGAGACCUUCGGGUCUAGUGGCGCACGGGUGCGUAACGCGUGAGAACCUGCCCUUAGGUUCGGAAUAACUCCCCGAAAGGGGUGCUAAUACCGGAUAAUGUCUUCGGACCAAAGAUUUAUCGCCUUUGGAUGGGCCCGCGUUGGAUUAGCUAGUUGGUAGGGUAAAAGCCUACCAAGGCGACGAUCCAUAGCUGGUCUGAGAGGAUGAUCAGCCACACUGGGACUGAGACACGGCCCAGACUCCUACGGGAGGCAGCAGUGGGGAAUAUUGGACAAUGGGCGAAAACCUGAUCCAGCAAUGCCGCGUGAGUGAUGAAGGCCUUAGGGUUGUAAAGCUCUUUUACCCGGGAUGAUAAUGACAGUACCGGGAGAAUAAGCUCCGGCUAACUCCGUG
rnacentral:rRNA from 1 species